rnacentral:rRNA from 1 species
AUACGGAGGGUGCGAGCGUUGUUCGGAAUUAUGGGGCGUAAAGAGCAUGUAGGCUGUCUGUUAAGUCUGGUGUGAAAGCCCGGGGCUCAACCCCGGAAGUGCAUUGGAUACUGGCAGACUUGAGUAUGGGAGAGGAAAGCGGAAUUCCGAGUGUAGGAGUGAAAUCCGUAGAUAUUCGGAGGAACACCAGUGGCGAAGGCGGCUUUCUGGACCAAUACUGACGCUGAGAUGCGAAAGCGUGGGGAGCAAACAGGAUUAGAAACCCCAGUAGUCC